rnacentral:rRNA from 1 species
AACGAACGCUGGCGGCAUGCCUAACACAUGCAAGUCGAACGAGACCUUCGGGUCUAGUGGCGCACGGGUGCGUAACGCGUGGGAACCUGCCUUUAGGUUCGGAAUAACUCAGAGAAAUUUGAGCUAGUACCGGAUGAUGUCUUCGGACCAAAGAUUUAUCGCCUUUAGAUGGGCCCGCGUUGGAUUAGCUAGUUGGUGGGGUAAAGGCCUACCAAGGCGACGAUCCAUAGCUGGUCUGAGAGGAUGAUCAGCCACACUGGGACUGAGACACGGCCCAGACUCCUACGGGAGGCAGCAGUGGGGAAUAUUGGACGAUGGGCGAAAGCCUGAUCCAGCAAUGCCGCGUGAGUGAUGAAGGCCUUAGGGUUGUAAAGCUCUUUUACCCGAGAUGAUAAUGACAGUAUCGGGAGAAUAAGCUCCGGCUAACUCCGUG